rnacentral:rRNA from 1 species
GAUGAACGCUGGCGGCGUGCCUAAUACAUGCAAGUAGAACGCUGAAGGAAGGAGCUUGCUCUUUCCGGAUGAGUUGCGAACGGGUGAGUAACGCGUAGGUAACCUGCCUGGUAGCGGGGGAUAACUAUUGGAAACGAUAGCUAAUACCGCAUAACAGUAGAUGUUGCAUGAUAUCUACUUAAAAGGUGCAAUUGCACCACUACCAGAUGGACCUGCGUUGUAUUAGCUAGUUGGUGAGGUAAAGGCUCACCAAGGCGAAGAUACAUAACCGACCUUAGAGGGUGGUCGGCCACCCUGGGACUGGGACACGGCCCAGACCCCUACGGGAGGCAGCAGGAGGGAAUCUUCGGCAAUGGACGGAAGGCUGAACGGGCAACGCCGCGGGAGGGAAGAAGGUUGUCGGAUCGUAAAGCUCUGUUGUAAGAGAAGAACGAGUGUGAGAGUGGAAAGUUCACACUGUGACGGUAUCUUACCAGAAAGGGACGGCUAACUACGUG